rnacentral:misc_RNA from 1 species
GCAAACUUGGUCAUUUAGAGGAAGUAAAAGUCGUAACAAGGUCUCCGUAGGUGAACCUGCGGAGGGAUCAUUACCGAGUGAGGGCCUUCUGGUCCGACCUCCAACCCCAUGUUAUCCGACACUGUUGCCUCCGGGGCGACCCGGCCUUCGGGCGUCGGGGCCCCGGGUGGACCAUUCAAACACUGCAUCUUUGCGUCUGAGUACACGAUUGAAUCAAUCAAAACUUUCAACAACGGAUCUCUUGGUUCUGGCAUCGAUGAAGAACGCAGC